rfam:Oryza nivara chromosome 9, whole genome shotgun sequence.
AAAAAGGCAAACUCUAGGUUUGAUUGUCCAACUUUGACUAUCCGUCUUAUAUGGAAUUUUUUUAUAAUUCGUAUUUUCAUUGUUAUUAGAUGAUAAAAUAUGAUUAAUAUUUUAUACGUGACUUGUCUUUUUAAUUUUUUUUAAAAAAUUUUUAAAUAAGACGGACGGUUAAACAUUGGACACGGAAAUUAGGGUUUGUCUUUUU